GACGAACGCUGGCGGCGUGCUUAACACAUGCAAGUCGAACGGAAAGGCGCUGCUCUUGUGGGGUGCUCGAGAGGCGAACGGGGGAGUAAAACGUGAGUAAACUGCCCCUGACUUUGGGAUAAAUCCAGGAGACUGGGGCUAAUACCGGAUAGGAGAUCCUGCUGCAUGGGGGGGGAUGGAAAGAUUCGGCGGUUGGGGAUCGACUCGCGGCUUACCAGCCUGAUGGGGGGGUAGUGGCUUACCAAGGCUUUGACGGGUAGCCGGCCUGAGAGGGUGACCGGCCACAUUGGGACUGCGAUGCGGCCCAGACUCCUACGGGAGGCAGCAGUGGGGAAUAUUGCACAAUGGGCGGAAGCCUGAUGCAGCAGCGCCGCGUGCGGGAUGACGGCCUUCGGGUUGUAAACCGCUUUCGCCUGUGACGAAGCGUGAGUGACGGUAAUGGGUAAAGAAGCACCGGCUAACUACGUG
rnacentral:rRNA from 1 species